rnacentral:rRNA from 1 species
GACGAACGCUGGCGGCGUGCUUAACACAUGCAAGUCGAGCGGAAAGGCCACUUCGGUGGUACUCGAGCGGCGAACGGGUGAGUAACACGUGAGUAAUCUGCCCCUGGCUUUGGGAUAGCCACCGGAAACGGUGAUUAAUACCGGAUACGACCACUUCUCGCAUGGGAUGGUGGUGGAAAGUUUUUUCGGCCAGGGAUGUGCUCGCGGCCUAUCAGCUUGAUGGUGAGGUAAUGGCUCACCAUGGCUUCGACGGGUAGCCGGCCUGAGAGGGUGACCGGUCACACUGGGACUGGGACACGGCCCAGACUCCUACGGGAGGCAGCAGUGGGGAAUAUUGAACCAUGGGCGGAGGCCUGAUCCAGCAACGCCGCGUGAGGGAUGACGGCCUUCGGGUUGUAAACCUCUUUCAGCAGGGACGAAGCGCAAGUGACGGUACCUGCAGAAGAAGCACCGGCCAACUACGUGCCAGCAGCCGCCGUAA